UAGAGUGGCGAACGGGUGAGUAACACGUGGGUAAUCUGCCCUUCCCAGGGGGAUAACCGGGGGAAACCCCGGCUAAUACCCCGUAAGCUCGCGGGAUCGCAUGGCCCCGCGAGGAAAGGUAGCUUCGGCCAUCCGGCGAAGGAUGAGCCCGCGGUACAUUAGCUUGUUGGUGGGGUAACGGCCCACCAAGGCGACGAUGUAUAGCUGGUCUGAGAGGAUGAUCAGCCACAUUGGGACUGAGACACGGCCCAGACUCCUACGGGAGGCAGCAGCCGGGAAUCUUGCGCAAUGGGCGAAAGCCUGACGCAGCAACGCCGCGUGA
rnacentral:rRNA from 1 species